UUUAUGGAGAGUUUGAUCCUGGCUCAGAACUAACGCUGGCGGCGUGCCUAACACAUGCAAGUCGAGCGGACACCACUUUGUAGCAAUACAGAUGAAGUGUUAGCGGCAGACGGGUGAGUAACACGUAGGCAAUCUACCUUUCCGUCCGGGAUAACUAGCCGAAAGGUUAGCUAAUACCAGAUGCGCUCAUCGAACGGCAUCGUUUGAUGAUGAAAGCAGCAAUGCGC
rnacentral:rRNA from 1 species